rnacentral:lncRNA from 1 species
GGGGUGGAGACAGUUACAGGAGGAAGGAGGUUUAGAUCUAGCUUUAGAGUUGGUUCUAGGGUUUUUUUGGAGAGGAAGAGGUGAUCGAGGGUGAGGUCAAUGGGUAUAGAGUGGAGAGAAUUGAAGAGAGGGUUAGAUCUAGGGUUCGGCAAGGUCAGUGGAGAUGGGAUUUGAGAAGAGAGAGUUUGACAAAAUUGAUAGAGGAGUUGAUGGGGAG